GAUGAACGCUGGCUACAGGCUUAACACAUGCAAGUCGAGGGGAAACGACGGGGAAGCUUGCUUCCCCGGGCGUCGACCGGCGCACGGGUGAGUAACGCGUAUCCAACCUGCCUCUGACUGAGGGAUAACCCGUCGAAAGUCGGCCUAAUACCUCAUGGCAUCGUCUGCGGGCAUCCAACGACGAUUAAAGAUUUCAUCGGUCAGGGAUGGGGAUGCGUCUGAUUAGCUUGUUGGCGGGGUAACGGCCCACCAAGGCUACGAUCAGUAGGGGUUCUGAGAGGAAGGUCCCCCACAUUGGAACUGAGACACGGUCCAAACUCCUACGGGAGGCAGCAGUGAGGAAGAGUGGGCAAUGGGCGGGAGCCUGAACCAGCCAAGUAGCGUGCAGGAUGACGGCCCUAUGGGUUGUAAACUGCUUUUAUGCGGGGAUAAAGUGAGGGACGUGUCCUUCAUUGCAGGUACCGCAUGAAUAAGGACCGGCUAAUUCCGUG
rnacentral:rRNA from 1 species